rnacentral:piRNA from 1 species
UAUGGUGACAUAUGGUGAUCUUCAGG